AACGCGAAGAACCUUACCUACCCUUGACAUGCCCGGAAGCCCGGUGAGAGCUGGGGGUGCCCGAAAGGGAGCCGGGACACAGGUGCUGCAUGGCUGUCGUCAGCUCGUGUCGUGAGAUGUUGGGUUAAGUCCCGCAACGAGCGCAACCCUUGCCAGUAGUUGCCACAUUCAGUUGGGCACUCUACUGGGACUGCCGGUGACAAACCGGAGGAAGGUGGGGAUGACGUCAAGUCCUCAUGGCCCUUAUGGGUAGGGCUUCACACGUAAUACAAUGGCGCGUACAGAGGGUUGCCAACCCGCGAGGGGGAGCCAAUCCCAGAAAGCGCGUCGUAGUCCGGAUUGUUCUCUGCAACUCGAGAGCAUGAAGUCGGAAUCGCUAGUAAUCGCAGGUCAGCAUACUGCGGUGAAUACGUUCCCGGGUCUUGUACACACGC
rnacentral:rRNA from 1 species